UGAAUACGAGACGCUAAGGCGUCGAAGUAGUGUAUGUCAUACUUCCAAGAAAAGCUUGCACUGUCAUAAAUAAAUAAUGCCUGUACCAUAACCGACACAGGUGGGUAGGUAGAGUAUACUAAGGGGCGCGAGAUAACUCUCUCUAAGGAACUCGGCAAAAUAACUCCGUAACUUCGGGAGAAGGAGUGCCUUAUUCUUAAGGUUGCAAUAACAAGAUCCAAGCAACUGUUUAUCAAAAACACAGGUCUCCGCUAAGUCGCAAGACGAUGUAUGGGGGCUGACGCCUGCCCAGUGCCAGAAGGUUAAAGAAGUUGGUUAGCUUUUGCGAAGCUGAUAACUGAAGCCCUGGUGAACGGCGGCCGUAACCAUAACGGUCCUAAGGUAGCGAAAUUCCUUGUCGGGUAAGUUCCGACCCGCACGAAAGGCGUAAUGAUUUGGAUACUGUCUCGGAGAGGGGCUCGGUGAAAUAGACUUGUCUGUGAAGAUGCGGACUACCUGCACCAGGACAGAAAGACCCUAUGAAGCUUUACUGUAACUUGAAAUUGAAAUUGGACUUUAUUCGCGCAGUAUAGGUGGGAGGCGUUGAUUGUAAUCUUGCGGGAUUAUUGGAGCCAUCAGUGAGAUACCACUCUUGUAAUGUUAGAUUUCUAACUUUGUAUCAUUAUCUGGUCAAAGAACAGUUUCAGGCGGGCAGUUUGACUGGGGCGGUCGCCUCCUAAACGGUAACGGAGGCGUACAAAGGUUUCCUCUGAACGGUUAGAAAUCGUAUCUAGAGUGUAAAGGCAUAAGGAAGCUUGACUGUGAGACCUACAAGUCGAGCAGGGACGAAAGUCGGUCUUAGUGAUCUGACGGUACUGAGUGGAAAGGCCGUCACUCAACGGAUAAAAGUUACUCUGGGAUAACAGGCUGAUCUCCCCCAAGAGUUCACAUCGACGGGGAGGUUUGGCACCUCGAUGUCGGCUCAUCGCAUCCUGGGGCGGUAGUACGUCCCAAGGGUUGGGCUGUUCGCCCAUGAAAGCGGUACGCGAGCUGGGUUCAGAACGUCGUGAGACAGUUCGGUCCAUAUCCGGUGUAGGCGUUAGAAUAUUGAGAGGAGCCUUCUUUAGUACGAGAGGACCGAGAAGGACAUACCUCUGGUGUACCAGUUAUCGUGCCAACGGUAAACGCUGGGUAGCUAUGUAUGGAGUGGAUAACCGCUGAAAGCAUCUAAGUGGGAAGCCCACCUCAAGAUAAGUAUUCUCA
rnacentral:rRNA from 1 species